rnacentral:rRNA from 1 species
CCUACGGGAGGCAGCAGUGGGGGAUAUUGCACAAUGGGGGGAACCCUGAUGCAGCGACGCCGCGUGGGUGAAGAAGCGCCUCGGCGCGUAAAGCCCUGUCAGCAGGGAAGAAAAUGACGGUACCUGAAGAAGAAGCCCCGGCUAACUACUUGCCAGCAGCCGCGGUAAUACGUAGGGGGCAAGCGUGAUCCGGUUUUACUGGGUGGAAAGGGGGCGCAGACGGCGAUGCAAGCCAGGAGGGAAAGCCCGGGGCCCAACCCCGGGACUGCUCUUGGAACUGGGUGGCUGGAGUGCAGGAGGGGCAGGCGGAAUUCCUGGUGUAGCGGUGAAAUGCGUAGAUAUAAGGAGGAACACCGGUGGCGAAGGCGGCCUGCUGGACUGAAACUGACGUUGAGGCCCGAAAGCGUGGGGAGCAAACAGGAUUAGAUACCCUUGUAGUC